CCGUGCCGCCUUCCCCUGCAUGCCCACGGCCGUGCUCGUGCCCGUCCGCAUAGGCCUACUGCUUGAUGGUGACGGGGCUGCGCAAGUUUGAGGAGGGCCGAUCCGUGCCUUAUAGCGACGGGUGGUGCUGUUGCUCCUUGGUGACGGCGGCGACAGUAAUCUCGAGUUACCAAAUGCGGGUACGAGUUCUAGAUUUGCCUCUCCUACUCACCUUCCUCGGCUACCUUCCUGGGAUUAUUGGCAUCCAGUGAGGAGGAGAGCAGAGAGAGCACGAGGUGGGGGCAAAGAGCACAACAACGAUAUCUGGGCAGGCCGCAAGCAUGGACGCUCGAUGGAACACCAACGGCCAGCGUCUGGAGCCACAACGGGCACCUCCAAGAUUGGAUCCGGAGGAAUCCAGGAUCGUCGAAACCACGACCACGUCCAUUGCGGCAAGGGCUGACACAUGUUGAGGCUAGGGGUGCAAUGACACCGAAUAAUUCUUUAUUUUUCAGUUAUACAUUAUAUUUAUUAGGGUCAUAUGACACCUUCUCUUCUUUCUAAGAAAGAGGACACCAGAUAUUAAUCUGAUAAGUAAGACAUCUAAUUAUUUUUAUUCUUAGUCCGUUACUGUAUUGAUUAUUUUUGUUCUUGAUCCGGCACUGUAUUGCGGCCCUCAUGGCAGCGUGCCUAGGCACAUCCCUGCACCGCCGCCGGUCUGAUGCGAUGGAGUGCCUGGACGCUGCCAUCCAAAUCCGCACGGAUCCCACCUUGUUUACCAAAACCAACAGCACCCUUCAGGAUCUGCAUUCAAUUUUAAACCUCGCUAUGCUCAUUUUCAGAUAGGAAAUUCUAUUGCACUGAAUUUUUUAAUACAAAGGACAACAACAAGCUGGUACAAGAGGUACUAUCUGAAAUGGCUAAUGGUGGAGUUAACUGCACCGUUGAAUGCACGGGCCACGUCCAUGCUACGGUUUCUACAUCUGAAUGAGUUCAUGGCAUAGGUUCUCAAGAUAACCAUGUAGUUGCAUGAUCAUGGCACACAAGGAAGCUGUGAUCAAGUCUCACCCAAUGAACUUACUGAACGAGAGGGGCUUAUUGCACUGGAAGAGUAUCUUGUUCAGCUGAGCGAUAAGCUUCAACUAGAAGCGCAAAGUAUUCCUAAUGCUACACAUUUAUAUGUUCCCAUAGGGGGUGAGGAAAGUUGUGUCGUCAGAAAGGAGAAUGGCACCAGAGGAGCUUCAAUUUCGCAAUCAAAGAACCAUCAACUGGGAAAGGAUCUUGAUUUGUUUGACUUUGAUGCAGCUGCCGAAGUACAAUUGUGACAAUAUUAUGUUCAAUUUACAAUUUAAACAAGACACUGUAGCAAGUCUAUCAAUAACAGAUUGUUUAUACAUCUGAAAAGUUUAACUGCAUGAUAUUUAGUAAAUAGAUUUGAAAUUAUUCUUUUUCACGUUC